UGCGGGAUGGAGUAAUUGGCUAACUCAUUAGGCUCAUGACCUGAAGAUUGUAGGUUCAAGUCCUACUCCCGCAU
rnacentral:tRNA from 1 species